rnacentral:piRNA from 1 species
UGAGAGCUAAGAGCAGGU